GCGCAACGCAAGAAGCGGUGAUUUAAAAAAAAACGGCUUCAUAUGACUUCCCCAUUAAAGAACAUCCAGUAUACUUUAUUCCUCUGAAAUACAGGUUUCACUGAGCUGCAACAAAUGGACAUCUCUAAUGUGAGGCAGUGGACAGUUUCUGAUGUCUGUUGCUGGCUGACAAGAAAUGACCUCUCUGUACUUGCCCCGUCUUUUGAAGGUGUGUAAAUAGUUCAACAAUGACCAUUUAUAAUUGCCCUCUGUGCAACAAGAAGACAUUUUAUCUUACCCAUUUACUCAAACACAUUGGACUGUACCAUCAACAUGAGCCUCAUUUCCACAUAACUUGCGGACUGAAUGGCUGCAGCCAUAACAGUAGUUGUUUUACUUCCUACCGUUCUCAUGUUUAUCGAAAACACAAGGAACUGUUAAAACGCAAUACAGUGGACAGCCAUCAACAUGCUGAGCAUGAUUUAGGAUCGGGCAUAGUACAAGAAGAAGCCUUACUUUGAGUGCCUACUUUCUGUUCAACAUUAAGUACAGGAAACCAACUAAAAGUACACUGACUUUUCUGCAGUAUCUGUUGGGCAUUCAGAAGGAGAGCAUCAAGCUACCUACAGUUGUGUUGAGGCUUAUCAAUUUCUUAAAAUGUCCUGUGUGAAUAUUCCCAGAGUGAAAAUGUUACCAUUGACUGCAUUGUAAAUUGAAUUGUAGUCAAUUUGAAUUUUAGGCUACUGUUUUUGAGGAACCUGAAAUAUAUUCGAAAGUUUUAAGAUAUGAGUCAUAUUUAUAUUUUACAG